rnacentral:rRNA from 1 species
GUCUAUUUGUAGAUAUAAAAAGUCUAGCCUGCUCACUGAAUUAUUUUUAAGAGCCGCGGUAUUUCUGACUGUGCAAAGGUAGCAUAAUCGUUAGUUUUUUUAAUUGAAAUCUUGUAUGAAUGGUUUGACAAAAAAAAGACUGUCUUUAUUAUUAUUAAUUGAAUUUAACUUUUAAGUGAAAAGGCUUAAAUAAAUUAAAAAGACGAUAAGACCCUAUAAAGCUUUAUAUUAAUUUAUUACUUAAUAAAAUUUUAUUUUAUAAAUAUUUGGUAAUGAAUUUUAUUUUAUUGGGGUGAUAAUGGUAAAAUGAUUAAUAACUGUUAAUUUCGUUAAAACAAAAAUAAAUGAGUAAAAUAAAUGAUUCAAUAAAUGAUCCUAUUUAAAGAUUUAAAGUUUAAGUUACUUUAGGGAUAACAGCGUAAUUUUUUUUGAGAGUUCUUAUCGAGAAAAAAGUUUGCGACCUCGAUGUUGAAUUAAAAUAUCUAUAUAAUUGUAGCAGUUAUAUAAGAAGGUCUGUUCGACCUUUAAAUUUUUACAUGAUUUGAGUUCAAACCGGUGUAAG